UGAAGUUCGUCCUCGAUCUUCUCUGCUUGCCGUUCCCGUUCCCGCUGUUGCGGCAAUUGGAACCUGAACAAAUUUUAAACGGUGACUCAGACACCCAGCGACAAAUAGCGUGUCAUUUCUUCCGGUCUGGUCGACAUCAACAUAAAUUCCGGUCUUUUACGAGGAUCUUAUUCAAAUCACGCGUCGCGACUUUUCAAUUAGUUGACAUUAGAGAAACGUCGCCGAGAAAAUUUAUGUCGCUCCGCGGACCUCCUUGGCGAAAAAUGUGGAGAGAUCAAACGGAAACGGCUGAAGAAACUACGCAUCUUCAAGUUUAUCACGGAACCGAUCUUAAAAACUUCCGGAGGAGACGGUCGUCGCAGUGCAAACGAGCCGCAAGCACCGCCGCGAGUUAAAGAGACGCCUGGAUAAUUAACGGGCAUACGAUUUAAUUAAUGGCCGCUUAAUGCAAAGUAACUGCAGUACAACUCUUGGAGGUGUUGCCGAUGGGAACUCGAGAAGAUCCGAGCACGUUACUUUCGGAGAACGUGAGGGGGCACGGAGGGUGGAUUAAGCGUCUCGCGUAAGAGCCCUUGACGAAGGGGAUGUGAUUUAUAUAAUUUAGCAAAGUGGUACCUUCGGGUGUGGUUCUCCGUUUGAGGCGAAAUGUAAACAAGCUUUGUUUUAUCAACGAUCCUCGGGACUUCUUUAGGAACGUAGGUGCGAAACUCGUGGUUCGAUGCCGAGGAUUGCGCCGUGGAUUGUGCCCAGGCGGGAAUGCAACUCUAGAAAGAUAAAGGGAGAAAGUGGCCGUGGAACCCUAGUGGAAAACCCGAAGCAAUCACACUCGGACACGAGGGGCCGCUAAUUCGAUUACUAAGAGCGCUGCCCUCUUGGCCUGAUCCAGUCAAACCACCCUCGCCACCCCUUCGUGGACCACCCUCGGACUCGGUGAUCGUCGCUGGUCCCUGUACUUUUUCCCCCCUCGCGAAACGGGUCGAGAUAUCGUAGCCAUUAGGCGUAUAAAAGCGGCCGAGACAACCCUGCUUAAUCCCCUGGCAGUUUGUCGCGUAUGCUGUAACUGCAUAUGGCACGCAGUCGGGCUCCCGAGUAACUAGGUCUAUGCUGCAAGCUUAGAAGCAAGGAUUAAAAAUCCUCAUCCAUUUAGGAGGACAUGCAGACUACACCAAUGCGCGUAAUAAUAACCUUUAACACUAAACUACCACGGCUGGUAUAAAAUCAUCCUUACAAACUUUUUUGUACAGUUCUGAUACGCAACAUAUGAAUUAUAUACAAUUGUUUCAUUCGUCAUUCAAUUUUACGUGAGAUAUUUUUGUAUCUAAUUUUAGAAAGUGUUUUUAAGACUAAUAAUUUUUGUUUUAUUUAAAGAUUUAACGUCGCAUCAACAUCCUAGGUUAUUAGCCACUACUCUGAGUACUAUUAAAUUUUGUUUAGUAAGCUGCUUUCCUUUACAAACUUAAUAAGGCUAUCCAAGUUACUUGGUUCAAAGUUUUCUUUUAAUGAUGGCCUGAUUUUGUUGAGUUCACGGCAUCUUCUGAAUUUAGAACAAUUUAGAACCGAUAAUAUAUGUUCGACUGUGAUUAUCGCGUUACAGGCAGUACAAGUGGGUACUAAUAAAAUUUAUCCGAUCACGGUAGAAGAUACAACCGCCGAUACAAACGCCGAUAGGUUUAGCGUUAAUAAUAAAAGAAUUGAACAAUGUCUGUAGUAGAACGAGAAAUGGCGAUAAUAUUUCCUCGUGGCAAAGAAUGAUGGCUCGUGCUACGUAACAAAUAUCACCGAAAGAAUGAGUCGAGUGUCGCAGUAGAUCACCUCGACUUCCUCGACCAGCCACUUUGCCUGACUUGGCGUCGAUCUCUCCCGCCGCGACCAGUGGCGUCGAUCCGUUCUCGCGCGCGCAUUUUCUCCUCCGAAGAUCGUGUUUAUGGUCCAGCGUGUCCUCUCGACCCUUGGUCAGAGGCUGUCCUCGCAUGUUUACGGCUCUCGGCGUGCAAGUUUUUGAGUCAUGGCGACGGGCCAGGGGAAUUACCACGACAGAGAGGCUAAAUGUUUCGCGAUAUUUAUGUAACUCUCUCCAACUUCUUUCGAGCUUUCUGAAUUCCAUUUCUCAAACACAAACAUGGUACUCCGUUUCGAAGAUUCUUGUAACGCGGAGGAUUCAUGUAACCCGGAGUUCCAUUUUAAAUUAUUUACGAUCGAAGGAAGGGUACGAAAUAUAUGUACGAACGAUUUCGUGACCCAUUUCAGGGAUGUAUGUAACUGUAUUCUAGUAGUUAUGCAUAACGCUACCAUUAGAUAUCGUUGUCGAGGUUUGCGGUCACUUAGGCCACUCGCACACGGGCGCAACCGAUCAGUUUCAAAUCGCUCUGAAACUAGUUGCAUGCGACCGUGGAUCUAGGUAAAACAAAGAUAGUGGAAUAGGUAAAACAAAGAGCGCAAACGGUUUGCAACACUAAUUUCAAAUCGGUUGCGCCGUGUGCGAUCGACCUUAUACAGAAACAUCAAGAAACAUCUCGAAAGGAUUCGUUAAGGAUCGACCGUUAGUUUACGCAUAUCCGGGCGAAAUUGAAAUCACGCAUAAUCACACGACGCUUAAUGAACGCCGUAUAUCGAGAGAAAUGAAAAUCUUUCGUCCGAUGUAAUUGAAAGCCUCGUUAGAAGUCGUGAAAAAGAAGCGCGAUACCCGCACACCGCACGCUUACUUUCCAGGGAAACAAAAGUAUCCGUGGAAGCGAGAACCGAUCCUUGGCGAUUCUUCAACUCGCGGUUAUUUAUGGUUUUACUUUGGCGCGUCCGAUGGCUGCCGGCCGGGCAGAUUGCUUUUUGAUUUGCGCUUAAUCGGGAAAAGUUAUGGGCCCCCGAGAGAUGGAGGCGAAAGAGCGAGGGAGAUGGGUGGCUCUCUCGCCACCCUCGGAGCUCUGUGUGUUAGGGGGCGUACACAACUAACGCGGCGGGCCGCAUAUUAAACCAUAAAUUCAUGCGAGCCACCGCCGCAAUAGACGCCGAGUUAUCGCGGCGAGGAGCGUGCGUGGCGUUACUUGAACGCGUCAGUUUUUAACGCGAUUUUCAUUUGCCUGCUCGUCUAUCCGUCCGUUUUGAAUUCAAUUUCCUCGAGUGUAUGUAACUGCUGGCCGUCGAUUGCAUUUUUUAUCGACGAGUUCCGUCGUUCGAAUCGCCAUUGCUCUUGCGUGUCGCGUCCGAGAGGAACCUUCCUACGGUCCGAUUUAGGCAGAAAUAAAAUAUACAUUGAACGAUCACUGCACAUAAUUAUUGUCUGCGUGUUAAGUUACACUUGUAAUAGUCUUUACACGCUUUGUGAACGUAUGUUUACGUGCAUAUUUUUCAUCGUUUGAGGUCUUUGAAGUAUAUCUCACGUAUUGUAAAAAACCUGCCUAAGGGACAUCAAGUUACUAAGCCAAUAUCAGGAUGAAUCGCUACUAUUACUAAUAUUAAUAUUAUUGUUACGAUGUCUUCGAUGUAUAAACUAAAAGA